rnacentral:rRNA from 1 species
UACGUAGGGGGGCAAGCGUUUGUCCGGAUUUAUUGGGCGUAAAGAGCGUGUAGGCGGCCUGAAAGGUCAGCUGUGAAAACUCCGAGGCUCAACCUCGAGACGUCGGUUGAAACCUCUGGCUAGAGUCCGGAAGAGGAGUGUGGAAUUCCCGGUGUGAGCGGUGAAAUGCGCAGAUAUCGGGAAGAACACCCCGUGGCGAAGGCGGCACUCUGGGACGGUACUGACGCUGAGACGCGAAAGCGUGGGGAGCGAACAGG